GACGUAGGGCGCAAGCGUUGUCCGGAUUUAUUGGGCGUAAAGAGCUCGUAGGCGGCUGGUCACGUCGACUGUGAAACCCGCGGCUCAACCGUGUGGUCUGCAGUCGAUACGGGCUGGCUGGAGUUCGGUGAGGGAGACUGGAAUUCCUGGUGUAGCGGUGAAAUGCGACAGACGUAUCGAGGAGGACGACCGGUGGCGAAGCGGGUCUCUG
rnacentral:rRNA from 1 species